rnacentral:rRNA from 1 species
GCUUAUGACCAAACGACCCGGCAUGCACCCGAUCUCAUCAGAAUCUUAGAAACUAAGAGAGUUGAGCCUGGCGAGUGCUAGGGUGGGUGAUCACCACGCAUGCCAGGCUGUCACAGGUG